rnacentral:rRNA from 1 species
CCCUUAGAUGUCCGGGGCCGCACGCGCGCUACACUGAAGGAAUCAGCGUGGCUCUGUCCCUGGUCCGAAAGGAUUGGGAAACCCGUUGAAUCUCCUUCGUGAUAGGGAUUGGGGCUUGGAACUGUUCCCCAUGAACGAGGAAUUCCUAGUAAGCGUAGUUCAUCAAACUGCGUUGAUUACGUCCCUGCCCUUUGUACACACCGCCCGUCGCUACUACCGAUGGAGUGUUUUAGUGAGGCCUCGGGACCGGUCCUGACUGGCAUUGCCUGACGGACUGGGAACUUGGUCAAACUUGAAUACUUAGAGGAAGUAAAAGUCGUAACA